rnacentral:lncRNA from 1 species
CUAGACGGAGUUUACCUCCACCGUGGUGAGCUCUCCACUCUCCCUCCACUGUUCGAUCUAAAAUGAACGCCUUAGAUUAGAUCUAAUCUGAACAGUUAGGUUUUUAUACUAGAUCGGUUUAACUUUGGUUUAUUUAUGGUUUAGAUCUUAUCGGUUUAGCCGGUCGGUUUAUCCUUUACAAGGACGUGAGGUUUCGUUAAGUAUCGGCCGAGUGUUUUAUAGAUCGGAUCGCACAUUCUCUAGGCCUAAUAGCAGCCCGACGCGUAGCACCUGUCCGAUCAGUUUUUAUUUUCGUUUCUGUUUUAAAAAUAGAAAAGUUUUAAUCUUAGAUAUUUAAUAUCCUUUUGUGUGCUUAUCCAAAUUAAGUGAUUCUUUUUGAAGUAGAUUCAAAAUUUUAUGAAGUUUCUGUUUAUGCCAUUAUUUUUCAAAUUUGAGUUUGAUGAAAUUUGUUCAAAUCACUAAUUUGGUCGUAUCUUGAGUUUUAUAAAAUAUUUUUGAUUGAUUCUUUUUGCUAAUGUUUUGUUAUUGUUUUGUCCAUCCAUUAGCAUAUAGUGAUUUAUUUUUCGUUUAUUUUAAAUUAGGGUUUUAAGCAAAACAGUACUGUUUUAGCUUCUAGUUUUGUUUUAGUCUUCUCUUUAUAGUUUUAGUUGUUUUUAAUUAAUUUUAUUUUGUCACUUUUGACAAAUUUAGUUUUAUUUCUGUUGAACAAGAAGAAUAUUUUUUUAUUUGAAAUUUAUUUUCUUUAGUUUUGUAAGAAAACUUGUAUAGGUCAUAGUUAUAGUUUUAUAAUAGCUUUUUAUUUGUUUCUUUUUUGCAAAUAAAGUUUUUUGAAAAAUACUUUCUGUUAAAUUAGUUGUUUUACAUUUUCUUUUCUGUUAAUUUAUUAGUUUAAAGCUUUAUUUUUAUGUUUAGUUUUAUGUAGGACAAAGAAAACGAUUUUUGUUGUUUGUCGUAAAGUCUUAGACUUUUCCUUAGAAGUUUUUAUCGUAGUUUUCCUUGAAGUUCUUUGGAUUUUAUUUGGAUUUUUUAUUUGAUUUCUUUGUUUUUUAUUGAUAAUUUUGAUUGAUAGAAUUGAUUGCUGGAGUGUUUUGCUUAUGUGAAUGCUAUGUUUGACUUAUUAGAUUUACAUCGAGUGAUGGAUAGUAAAGUUAUUUUCAAGAGCGUUAUUAUCUUCAUCAACUUACCAGGCAAAUUCACUUUGACCAUGCUUUUCAUACCUAUGUUUUUAUUGCAUUUAGUGUCACCAUUCAUAAUCCCUCCAGUAGUGAUAUUGAAUCCUUGUAGUUGAGUAGUAUGCAUGAGGUAGGAAGCCCAUCUCCCUAUUACCAAGCCUGGGACGUUGUUUAGUUCUAAAAUGCUACGCAAUAGUAGACGGGGUUGGUAUGAGUGCUAGGGAGUGGUGUGAAGAAGGAGGACUCUACGUCAAUGACUGCAUCUUCAGGACCUCAAGACUUCAAGACCUCAAGAUUUUGAGACUCAAGACAAGAAUUCAAUACACACUACUGGGUGAAGGAUGGAUUUGAUGGGCACCCUGGAUCAAGCAAUGGAUGCAUGGUCGGGAUGCAUGGAGAAGCGCCAUGACAUCUUGCGGAAAGCUUCACCUGUACUCAAAGAGACGGAAGAAUACUUCAUGCCCAGAAGCUUACCUGUGCAACUGCAAGUCAUUAUGGGCUCUGGCUUGGUUGACCUUAGUUGUGAUUCUGGCUGGGACGGUGCUAGCAGUUGUAGAACUACGGUAGGAUUGGAUGAGCACCAGACAGUGGUCACAGGAACUCUUUGGAAGACCAUGUUUCAGUCGUCUUAUUCUCAAACACCCUAAAGUGCGAGAAUGUAAAAAGAGGGACCGAAUCUUACGGGUAAAGUGUGCAAACCUCUACAGAGGGUUAAAACCUAAUCGAUUAGCCAUGUCUCGGUUACGGAAAAUUUGAGCCUCUGGACUUGGAUCCAUCUCAGAACUCUCAACACCAGACUGAUAACUUAAUUGUGGGCAACUUAUGAUGAUUUUGGGUUAUGAGACAUCGGUUGGCGGAACCAUGUCAUGAUAGAAAACUCCGUAGUACAGACUCAUGAUAUUCCUGUGAUGUAGGGAAAAUAAAACCAGCUUUUACGCAAACAAAACUCGGAUACAGAGCCACAAAGCCAUAUUGCGUAUAGUAUAGUUUAUCAUCUUUUUUUCUUAUAGUGAUCUUGCCGGUACAUUCAAUGUACUAACCUACACGGCCGCAACGUAUUAUGUUGCGGGAUUAUUUCUAUGACGAGUGAGUUUCGUUGUUGGGUUACGGUCUACACUCAACUUGCCGAUGGUGUUCAUGGGACUCCACACCCGAUUGUUUGUUUCCGCUAAGACUUAUGAGGUAUAUAUAUCAGUUUUAUGUUAUUUAUACAUGUGAUUGCACUUUGAUAUAUACAUUAAUGUACUAUGUGUGCCAGCAUACUAAUCCAGGGAUGGCACGGAUACACAGAGGCUUGACCGUCUGAGGUUGAGUCGCUACAGCUAGUGAGUCCGUCGACCUGCUCCAACGGCGCUUCUUCUACUUCAGCACAAGUAAGCUACCAGUUUCUGUCCUAUGCUCUCUCUCAUGCCUUUAAUCAUGCUAAAUUUCAAGAAAAUGGUGCUACAUUUCAAGAACAUGUGGAUAGGUCCGGUAUGGUGGUAUCUUUCGUGAUGAUCAUCCAUAAUAUUAGCUUAGCGGACCUCCAAUCAGUGUAUGCUUUAGUUUGUCUCAUUAUCUGCCUUGUUGGUGUGACUGUGAGGCAUACAAUCAAAGUGAUGCAUAUGUUUGAGCGAACUUUUCUCUUGUUUAUCCAUCGCAAGUGUGUCAGCAUUGUAACCCUUGAUGUGGCCAUUUUCUGAUGUCAUUCCUCUUCACUGAUAUUGUUCUUUAUGAAAAAUAGUGAUGUGGUCGUCUUGUAGGCAUAUAGAUAGAUCAUGGAGGUCUGUAGAGGAGCUUGACUGGUCAGAAUUAAGUACAUCUAUUUUUUAGAAUGGAAGUCCCUCACUAUGGUCAUACCGAAACAUUUUAUAGCCAAGUUGAUGGUAGCGAAAAAUUACCAUCUUGUAUCUUUUGUCCUGGAUUUUGUAUGUUAUACUAGUUCCUGCGUUGUCAUCAUACUUCUUUCUCCGUUUUACCAUUAUGUUAAUGAGAAAGGGCCCAAAUACAAAGAAAACAUGCAGUCAAUUUAAAUAUGGUCUAAAGGAAGAUUUGCAUGUCGCAGUUUAAAUUACUUAUUGACUGGUUAGAAGGAAAUGCUCUGUGGCUAUAUUGUAACAGUUUCAUAACGAAGAUUAUGGAAGCAAAAUAUUUCCUAGGUUGCCAUCUUUGUUUCUAGAUUUUGUAUGUUUCACUAAGUUUAGAUGUAUGCAUCGUACUCCCUCUGUCCGAAAAAACUUGUCUCAAGCUUGUUCCUCAAAUGGAUGUAUCUAGCACUAACUUGGUGCUAGAUACAUCCAUUUCAGGGACAAGUUGUUCCGGAUGGAGGGAGUACUUCUUAUUCGCCUCUCUUGAUAUGACUACUGUAUGAAGUUGUGUUGUGAGUAACAUGAUCGUUUGACUCAUGAUGAGCUUGCUUUCCCAGAUUUACAAGUAAUAUGUUGUGUCUGACUGGUUUUAUAUGUCUCCUUUUAUAAAUUCUAUGAUUUGCGAGAUAUUAAUAUUAAACUAUAGCUGACACAUGUUGUGCUUUAAGAUGCAUGGCAUUUACGGUUUGGCGCCAUUGAGAUUGAUGAUGCAUGAGGAUGUCGCGAGGUGCCGAGGAGAGAAGUACCUCCUAGAUCUGAGAUUUGCAAGCACCAGACGAAAUGACAACGCGAGCCAGACGGGGG